rnacentral:rRNA from 1 species
GGCCAUGUUGGUUAACAGAUCCUCAUCUGCUGGACGUCUGGCGAUGAUCUUUAUCGGUUGUCGUCAGUUGCCAGCACGUUUACUUUGAGAAAAUUAGAGUGCUAAAAGCAGGCUCACGCCUAUAUAUAUUGCAUGGAAUAAUGAAAUAAGAUCUCGAUUUUAUUUCGUUGGUUUUAGAAAUUGAGAUAAUGAUUAAUAGGAUCAGAGGGGGGCGUACGUACUGUGGUGUGAGAGGUGAAAUUCUUGGAUCGCCACAGGACGAACAGCAGCGAAGGCGUUCGCCAAGAAUGUUUUCAUUAAUCAAGAACGAAAGUUUGAGGUUCGAAGACGAUUAGAUACCGUCCUAGUUCAAACCAUAAACGUUGCCAACUGUCUUUUAGAUGCGGUUAUUUAUAUGACUCAUCUGGCGGAUCUCGAGAAAUCUAAGUUUUUAGGUUCCGGGGGAAGUAUGGUUGCAAAGCUGAAACUUAAAAGAAUUGACGGAAGGACACACAAGAAGUGGAGCCUGUGGCCUAAUUUGACUCAACACGGGAAACCUUACUCGGCCAGGACACUUUUAGGAUUGACAGAUUGAGAGCUCUUUCUUGAUUAGGUGGGGUGGUGGUGCAUGGUCGUUCGUAGUUCGUGGAGCGAUUUGUCUGAUUAAUUUCGAUAACGAACGAGACUCCGGCUUACUAAAUAGUCUAAAGUUCGAAGGGACUUUUCAAGACUUCUUAGCAGGAUAAGUGG